rnacentral:misc_RNA from 1 species
AAAUAAUAACAAAUUACAUCCCAUCAAAACCAAAAAAAUAUCAAAUCAGCAAAUAUCAUCACAAAUUAUGAAAUACAAAACUUCUAAAACAACUCAUAGAAAUACAAUCUUGGAACUCCAAAAUUCCAAGGCAUGAUGAUAAUUCAUUCAAUACCUUCAAAAAUAAAUUAUAAAAAAACAGAAUUUUACACUUUAUAAAACAAUAUAUAUUAUAAAAGCAAAACCACAAUGUUAAUAAAUCAUAAUUAUAAGAUUGAACAUGGUAAGCUAGGGAUAAGUUGUAUCUGGAUGUAGUCAACAAUACAAAAUCAUAGGGGUUUCAGAGUUCUUGCCCAAUUAAUUUUCAUUUUCGAUCAAUGUUCACAUACACACAUCUUAAAAAAUAAAUAAGAAAUUA